UUCAGAUAACUGUUGGAGAGGUUGUGGGGAAAAAGGAACAUAUUUACAUAUGUGGUGGGAUUGUAAAUUUGUGCAAAAAUUGUGGAAGAUGGUGUUUAAGGAGAUUGAAGAAAUUGUAGGAAUAAAGGUAGAAGAGGCACCAAAGGUAGCAUUACUCUCACUCUCGCCAAGGCUCAAGGUUGACUCAGCCUUCCAUCCUUUCUAAGGUAGGUGAAAUGAGGACCCAGUUUGUGGGGGCAAUAAGCUGACUUUAUAUAAAUAUACAAAAGGAUGAAGGCUAUUGCUGAGCACAUUGUAAGCUGCCCUGAGUCUCCAGAGAAGGGCAGCAUAUAAAUCAAAUUAAAAAAAAACAAACAACUAUUGGAAGAUAUAAAGUGUAAAAAAGAGACUAAAGAGUUGAUAACAAAUUUGUUGACCGCAGCAAGGUUAAUGAUUUCUAGGAACUGGAAGACAUGAGGUCCUUUAGUAUUAGGCAGCAGAGCAUGGGUAUCCAUCUUCUCCAAGUGAAGAGUACCAUCUGCUGGGUCAUUUGCAAUAGAAAAAUCACAAAUUUGAUUUUCAAAGAAUCCUUCCAUCUUUGCAAGCAUCUUUCAUCCAGGAAGAAAAGCGUCAUCAUAUGAUGGUUGAACCCCUAAAUAUAUGUUUAAACCAGUAAACAUAAAAGGUAUGUUGUGAAGGAAAAGAGACUGGAGGAGGCAUUUGAGCGUAAGAAAAGACAUUCAAGACCUCAGUAUCAUUACUGAUCGCUAAUGUACCCUUCCAUGGCUCUUUAGAUCACUAGGUACUUCUUUGAAGACGAUCCCCUGGAGAAAGCAAAAAAAGACUGGGCAAGAAAAUAAAUGGAAAAUAGAUUUUCUCUUCUAAUCUUUGUUGCUCACACAAUUCAGAGGGAAAGGAAGGAUGCUAAUUCAAUGGUUCUCAACUUUUUCUUCACCACGGACUCCUUUUAAAUACCUUUUGUGGCCACAGACCAUGGCCACAGACCCCCAAAACUUAACUCAUAACAUUUCUUCAAGCCUUCGUGGACCCACUGUGAUGACAUUACAGCCCCCUCCAGAAGACUGAGGAGAAUCACUGUGCUAAUUAAUAAUACCUUUUUUUAAUUAAUAAUGAAAUAAUUUAUAUUAUAAAUGAUGUUGUGAAAAAGUAUAAUAAUUAACAUAAUAAUAAUUAAUUAACACCUUGAAAGGUAACAUUUUACUUUUAUUGUUCAGAGGGAGCUAUAUUUUUGCAGCUUGUUAUUCCACAAUAAAUAAAUAAUGACAUAUUUGCUUUUUUCUUCUCUCAGAAUUGUUUCUCUCAGUUACUGUAACAACUGAUCAUUCUAAUAUGAUCAGUUGUUACGGGAAGAAUUAGUGUAUACAUUACACUAUAAUGUAAUGUAAUGUAUACUGUAUAAUAAUAAUAAUGUAUUACUGUACUAAUACAGUAAGAAUUAGUGUCCAAAUUUACUUAUAUUUCUUUUCC